rnacentral:rRNA from 1 species
UGGGGAAUUUUGGACAAUGGGGGAAACCCUGAUCCAGCCAUCCCGCGUGUGCGAUGAAGGCCUUCGGGUUGUAAAGCACUUUUGGCAGGAAAGAAACGUCAUGGGUUAAUACCCCGUGAAACUGACGGUACCUGCAGAAUAAGCACCGGCUAACUACGUGCCAGCAGCCGCGGUAAUACGUAGGGUGCAAGCGUUAAUCGGAAUUACUGGGCGUAAAGCGUGCGCAGGCGGUUCGGAAAGAAAGAUGUGAAAUCCCAGAGCUCAACUUUGGAACUGCAUUUUUAACUACCGGGCUAGAGUGUGUCAGAGGGAGGUGGAAUUCCGCGUGUAGCAGUGAAAUGCGUAGAUAUGCGGAGGAACACCGAUGGCGAAGGCAGCCUCCUGGGAUAACACUGACGCUCAUGUACGAAAGCGUGGGGAGCAAACAGG